ensembl:snRNA Gm26131 U6 spliceosomal RNA
GUGCUCGCUUCGGCAGUACAUAUACUAAAAAAUUGGAUCCAUACAGAGAAGAUUAGCAUGGCCCCUACAAAAGGAUGACACACAAAUUCAUGAAGUGUUUCAUAAAAAA